GAUGAACGCUAGCGACAGGCCUAACACAUGCAAGUCGAGGGGUAACAUUGUAGCUUGCUACAGAUGACGACCGGCGCACGGGUGCGUAACGCGUAUGAAACCUACCUUUUACUGGGGGAUAGCCCGAAGAAAUUCGGAUUAACACCCCAUAAUAUAUUUGAUUGGCAUCAAUUAAAUAUUAAAACUCCGGUGGUAGAAGAUGGUCAUGCGUGACAUUAGAUUGUUGGUGAGGUAACGGCUCACCAAGUCAGCGAUGUCUAGGGGUUCUGAGAGGAAGGUCCCCCACACUGGUACUGAGACACGGACCAG
rnacentral:rRNA from 1 species